rnacentral:rRNA from 1 species
UACGAAGGGGGCUAGCGUUGCUUGGAAUCACUGGGCGUAAAGCGCACGUAGGCGGCUUUUAAGUCAGGGGUGAAAUCCUGGAGCUCAACUCCAGAACUGCCUUGAUACUGCCGUGCUUGAGGACUGGAGAGGAGACUGGAAUUUACGGUGUAGCGGUGAAAUGCGUAGAUAUCGUAAGGAAGACCAGUGGCGAAGGCGGGUCUCUGGGCCUUACCUGACGCUGAGGAGCGAAAGCGUGGGGAGCAAACAGG